rnacentral:rRNA from 1 species
AGUGAACGCUGGCGGUAGGCCUAACACAUGCAAGUCGAACGGCAGCACAGGAGAGCUUGCUCUCUGGGUGGCGAGUGGCGGACGGGUGAGGAAUACAUCGGAAUCUACUUUUUCGUGGGGGAUAACGUAGGGAAACUUACGCUAAUACCGCAUACGACCUACGGGUGAAAGCAGGGGACCUUCGGGCCUUGCGCGAUUGAAUGAGCCGAUGUCGGAUUAGCUAGUUGGCGGGGUAAAGGCCCACCAAGGCGACGAUCCGUAGCUGGUCUGAGAGGAUGAUCAGCCACACUGGAACUGAGACACGGUCCAGACUCCUACGGGAGGCAGCAGUGGGGAAUAUUGGACAAUGGGCGCAAGCCUGAUCCAGCCAUGCCGCGUGUCUGAAGAAGGCCUUCGGGUUGUAAAGGACUUUUGUCCGGGAGCAAAUGCUGGUGGCUAACAUCCACCGGAGCUGAGAGUACCGGAAGAAUAAGCACCGGCUAACUACGUGCCAGCAGCCGCAGUAAAAC